CCGCGCAGCCGGGGAGAUAGCGGUGCCCUGUACCUGCAAUCCGCUACAGCAGGGGUGAUGCUUUGCGUCGGGUCUAUUUUGUAGAGCUGCCCUUUAUAAGUGAUGUUGACGCUUGGGUCUUGUGCAACGGAAAUUUGUGAAUCGUGUCAGGUCAGGAAUGGAGCAGCACUAAGCAAAACCUUUCGUGUGACGCGAGGGUGCCUGAGCUGAGUUAACUGUAGAGGUAACGUCUAUGAGAUUUUCACAAAACAAAGCGCGCGG
rfam:Eubacterium sp. CAG:156 genomic scaffold, scf159